rnacentral:rRNA from 1 species
UACGAAGGGGGCUAGCGUUGCUCGGAAUCACUGGGCGUAAUGGGUGCGUAGGCGGGUCUUUAAGUCAGGGGUGAAAUCCUGGAGCUCAACUCCAGAACUGCCUUUGAUACUGAGGAUCUUGAGUUCGGGAGAGGUGAGUGGAACUGCGAGUGUAGAGGUGAAAUUCGUAGAUAUUCGCAAGAACACCAGUGGCGAAGGCGGCUCACUGGCCCGAUACUGACGCUGAGGCACGAAAGCGUGGGGAGCAAACAGG